rnacentral:tRNA from 1 species
GCUGGGUGUAGCUCAGUGGUAAAGCACUUGUCUAACAUGAAGAAAGCCCUGGGUUCCAUCCCCAGCACAGUG